ACUGGUACCCAGUGUAGAAGUGGAUUAGAUUGAAGAAUCACGUAAUCUGUAUCUUGAGGGGCCAUCGAAAUGGAUCCUAAAACAAAUCUUCAUAUUAUCCAGUUUUUCCUUUUUGGUCGCACGAGAUGCAUUAAAUUAACCCAGUCUCUCGUAACGCGUUGGCACAUUUUCAAAAAUUUGACACAUGUAGAGUCAAUAGCAGGAUGAAGAUACACCUAUCUGUUCAUAAUACUGCUACGAUUUCAUCUACGCAUGAAUAUGGGUGGUAAGAAACAUUUAAACAACAGUUAUAUUGACCAAAUUUUCCGGCGGAACUGAAACAUUGCGGAUGAUAAGUUUUGUAUAACCAUCUUCGAAUGCAAUGAGGUCAUAUCGAUGCUGUACACACAUGAUACAUGAUCGAGUUACACAGCUAUAUCAGAUUUAAAUUCAUUA